UGCCUACGGGGGGCAGCAGUGAGGAAUAUUGGUCAAUGGGCGGGAGCCUGAACCAGCCAAGCCGCGUGAAGGAAGAAGGCGCCAGGCGUCGUAAACUUCUUUUGUCGGGGAACAAAGGGCGCCACGCGUGGCGUUGUGAGUGUACCCGAAGAAAAAGCAUCGGCUAACUCCGUGCCAGCAGCCGCGGUAAUACGGAGGAUGCGAGCGUUAUCCGGAUUUAUUGGGUUUAAAGGGUGCGCAGGCGGAGGCACAAGUCAGCGGUAAAAUCGCGGGGCUCAACCCCGCUCCGCCGUUGAAACUGCAUC
rnacentral:rRNA from 1 species